CCUGGCGGCACUAGCGCGGUGGUCCCACCUGACCCCAUGCCGAACUCAGAAGUGAAACGCCGUAGCGCCGAUGGUAGUGUGGGGUCUCCCCAUGUGAGAGUAGGGAACGGCCAGUA
rnacentral:rRNA from 1 species